rnacentral:rRNA from 1 species
UAUGUAGGGUGCGAGCGUUGUCCGGAAUUAUUGGGCGUAAAGAGCUCGUAGGCGGUCUGUCGCGUCGGUCGUGAAAACUUGGGGCUUAACCCUGAGCUUGCGGUCGAUACGGGCAUGACUGGAGUUCGGCAGGGGAGACUGGAAUCCUGGUGUAGCGGUGAAAUGCGCAGAUAAUCAGGAGGAACACCGGUGGCGAAGGCGGGUCUCGUGGGCCGGUAUUGGACGCUGGACGGCGCGAAAGCCAGGGGAGCAAAC